rnacentral:rRNA from 1 species
CUACGGGACGCUCCAGUCGCGAAUCUUUUACAAUGCACGCAAGUGUGAUAAAGCGAGCCAAAGUGCUAUUCGUAUAGAAUAGCUUUUCUUUACUGUAAAAAUGUAGAGGAAUAAGGACUGGGAAAGACUGGUGCCAGCCGCCGCGGUAAUACCAGCAGUUCAAGUUGCAUCCCUUUUUAUUGGGUCUAAAACAUCCGUAGCUUGAACUUUAAGUCCCUUGUGAAAUCUUACGUCUCAAGCGUGAGGCUUGCGGGGGAUACUGAAGUUCUAGAGAUCGGUAGACGUAAGGAGUACGCUGGAGGUAGUGGUAAAAUACGUUAAUCUUCGGUGGACUAACAAUGAGCGAAGGCACCUUACGAGGACGAAUCUGACAGUGAGGGAUGAAGGCCAGGGGCGCAAAACGGAUUAGAUACCCCAGUAGUC